rnacentral:lncRNA from 1 species
AGGGCUGCGCCCAUGGCAUGUGGAGGUUCCCGGGCUAGGGGUCAAAUCAGAGCUGUAGCUGCUGGCCUACACCACAGCCACAGCAACGCCAGAUCCGAACUGCAUCUGUGACCUACACCACAGCUCAAGGCAAUGCCGGAUCCUUAACCCAGUGAGUGAAGCCAGGGAUGGAACCUGCAUCCUCAUGGAUCCUAGUCAGAUUCCUUUCCCCUGAGCCACGACAGGCACUCUGUAAAUAUUUUCUGUAAAAUUCAUUUUUCUGUGUCAAGAACACCUGUGAGGCGCCCUGACUGCCAUUGGAUGCAACGCUACUGGCCAGCUCUGUUAAUUCCGCACGGGGCAGGCAGCCCUGGGCAUGGAUCCCAGACCUGAUCUGUCCCAGGGAAGUUGUAUCCUUGCUCACAAAGGGGACAUGGUCAUUAGGGUGUUGGGGGUUCUCAGUUAAAUGGGUCACCAGGGUCCAAAAGAGUACAGGACAGGGCCACAAGCUAGGCUGUCUCUGACCCCUCUUCCUAAACCAUUUAGCCACACACCCAAGGGCAACAGUAAGUCAACAUGCAGGCCACUGGCGAUGGGUAGAAAGAACACUGAAGUUAGAGUUGAGUCAAGUUCCAGCUCUUUACUUCCUAGGUCUCCACGUUCUCAUCUGUUAAAUGGGGAUAACAGGAGUUCCUGCUGUGGUACAGGGGGUUAAGAAUCCAACUUCAGUGGCUCAGGUCUCCUUGGAGGCUUGGGUUUGAUCCCCAGACGGGUACAGUGGGUUAAAGGAUCUGGCAUUGCAACAGCUGAAGCACAGAUAGCAGCUGCAGCUCAGAUUCAAUCCUUGGCCCAGGAACUUCCAUAUGUCACAGGUGGAGCCAUAACAUUUUUUUAAAGGGAGUUCCCAUUUUGGAUCAGUGUCAAGAACCCAACUGGUAUCCAUGAGGAUUUGGGCUCGAUCCCCGGCCUCGCUCAGUGCACUAAGAAUCCAGUGUUGCCUUGAGCUGCAGCAUAGGUUGCAGACAUGGCUGGGAUCCUGCAGUGCUGUGGCUGUGACGUAGGCUGGCAGCUUCGGCUCCAAUUCAACCCCUAGCCUGGGAACCUCCAUAUGCCACAGGUGUGGACAUAAAAAGACCAAAAAAAUAAAGUUUCUAAAGGGCUCUUGAUUCUUCUUCCUUUUCAGAGCGCUCGCCCUGUUCUCCUGCUGGCUCUCCACCUGGUACCCCGCUGGCUUCUCCCAGUCCGAUAAUUCUAGCGUCUUUUUCAGCAUGCCUUAUAAUCAGGCCACUCUCUUCCUCAGAGGUCCCCUUUCAUAGAAUGGAGGUGGCAACUAGAUUUCAGGUUGUGUUCUUUCAUUGAUUAUUAAAAGAGUCUGAGGAGCUAUAUAGUCUGUGAAAGGAGCACUAUAGGUGAUAAAUGGGCUAAGAGCCACCUCGUUGCCAACCUUACACUGAGGACAGGGGCUGGUGAGGCUUGUCCCCCCAGCCCACAGCCUGCCCCCCACCAGGGAGUGGCCUGAUGUUCCUCAUGGGGAGGAAGCUUGCCUGGUGCUCACAGCCCGAUGGGAGGGAUCCUUCCUCAAAGCAUCCGCCUUGGUCUCUCCAUAGUGCGGAUUCAGCUUGGAGAGACAGCAAAAGUAACUCCGAAGGGGCCAGACCCCACCUCUGCUAUAGGGAGGAGGGGUGCCCCACACUCCUCUGCAGGUGGGAAGACCUGAGGGGCAGAAAGGAUGGGGAACAAGUCAAGGUUGUCCACCUGCUGGGCAAGGGAGUCAGGCCCUCACCUCCCCACCUCCUCUGACUCAAACCCCGGGUUCUUUCCCGUCAUAUUUGAAACAAAUUUCCUUUUCUGGAAAGUGAGGACCAGUUUCAAGUCCUCACUGACUUCAUAAACCCCAGGAGGGCUUUGGUCCUAAGACACCUCCUGACUUUCAAAGCCGACCCAGUAUCAACCUCUAAAAACAGGCUGCAAGGCCAUUAACACCACCGCCCGGGACCCUUUCGAACAGCUAGCACGGCCAAUUUUAUGUUAUGCAUCUUUUAUGACAGUUUAAAAAAUAUACGAAUAUAUCAAAACCCAACUGGGUACUUGAACCAGGUGAACAGGCUGCAGAUCCUGUCUCAAUAAAGCUGUUUGAAAGAAACAUGCAGGGAGCACACCUGCGUUGUUGCCCGCCGUGUCCCCAGCAGAUGCCAGGCACACAGAAGGUGCUCAAUAAGUGUGUGGGGUCUGUGGAUAAACCACAUGCCCAUCCGCUCACCCCUUGGGGACUCAGCCUCCUGCCCCAGCCCUGGCUGUGAGGGUAGCCUGCUCCCUGCCACUGCAAAUUUCAUCUGGAUAGACAGAAUUAAGUUGCUUGGCAAAGAUGGCUCUUAGCCCUCAGACUGGACUUCUCAGAGCAGGACUCUCGGUUACUCAUGUGGUCCAGCAAUAAGAAACUUACAGGGAAGGGACCCUGGGAGACCUGCAAUCUCCCCUGGCUUUCAGGAUAACCAGCUCUAGGCAUAAUCAUCUAGCCCAAUGACUUCUCUAGAACUGAGCCAGGGAGACGCUGACUGGAAUGACAGCUCAUCUAGAAGGUUCUCCUCUCCUGGCAUCAGAGCCCAGGGCAGCAUCAGUCCAAAGCCCACCAUGCCAGGGCUAGGAGGCACAUGUUCCGCUCAGCGAGGCUGAUUUUGUGAAGCGGGACAAGAAAACAUUGACGGUAACGGCGGCAGUGGACCGGUCUUCCUUCUUCCCCUCUGGCCCCUGUGGUAGCUUAGUGGCUUGUCUCCACAGACGCCUGCCACCAAUCCU